rnacentral:rRNA from 1 species
GACGAACGCUGGCGGCGUGCUUAACACAUGCAAGUCGAGCGGAAAGGCUCCUUCGGGAGUACUCGAGCGGCGAACGGGUGAGUAACACGUGGGUAAUCAACCCCUGACAUCGGGAUACCCCGGGGAAACCCGGAUCAAUACCGAAUAAGGUGCGGAGUCGCUGGACGCCGUACCAAAGGUAGCUUCGGCCUCCGGUCAGGGACGAGCACGCGGCCCAUUAGCUUGUUGGCGGGGUAAUGGCCCACCAAGGCGACGAUGGGUAGCUGGUCUGAGAGGACGAUCAGCCACACUGGGACUGAGACACGGCCCAGACUCCUACGGGAGGCAGCAGUGGGGAAUAUUGCGCAAUGGGCGAAAGCCUGACGCAGCAACGCCGCGUGCGGGAAGAAGGCUUUCGGGUCGUAAACCGCUUUCAGCAGGGACGAAGCUUCCGGGGUUAAUAGCCUACGGGGUGACGGUACCUGCAGAAGAAGCCCCGGCUAACUACGUGCCAGCCGCCGCUGUAACAC